AAGGCCUUAGCUUAAUUAAAGUGCCUGUUUUGCAUGCAGGUGAUGUGGGAUAGUGUCCCGCAGGUUUUA
rnacentral:tRNA from 1 species